GCGAAUCGAGGAGUGGCGAGCAACACCGCACGAUGGUCUGUGUAUUGGCCCCGCAUGGCGCUCUCCCUCCGCUCCCCAAAAGAAAAUGCUUAUGCCCAAGUGUGUGCACCAUACCAUACAUGGCCAGUACGGUAGGCAGUUGCUGCUGGAAUGUGUACUCUUCCAACGUGGGAGCAGCUAUUGUUGAAGUUACAUGACAAGUUUAAGCAUAACUUUCUCAAUCUGCAACCAACUACCAUUCAACCCUUCAGGUGAUGGUUACUGAGAUGCACUUAAUUUUUAAUGGUCGUGAGCUGAUAUGAUUCUUCCAAAAUUUGGAAGGAUUUUGAAAGUCAACGCAUGAACAUUGCAAACCUUUUAAUUGCUCUCGCAGGUCCCACUACUCUUGUUCUUUACACUCU